rnacentral:rRNA from 1 species
GAUGAACGCUAGCUACAGGCUUAACACAUGCAAGUCGAGGGGUAACAAGAGAAAAGCUUGCUUUUCUUGUUGACGACCGGCGCACGGGUGAGUAACGCGUAUCCAACCUGCCUAUAACUAGGGAAUAACCUUGCGAAAGUAAGACUAAUACCCUAUGAUUUCCUUUGAUGACAUCAGAUUAGGAAUAAAGAUUCAUCGGUUAUAGAUGGGCAUGCGUCUGAUUAGCUUGUUGGCGGGGUAACGGCCCACCAAGGCAACGAUCAGUAGGGGUUCUGAGAGGAAAGCCCCCCACAUUGGAACUGAGACACGGGCCAAACUCCUACGGGAGGCAGCAGUGAGGAAUAUUGGUCAAUGGGCGGAAGCCUGAACCAGCCAAGUAGCGUGCAGGAUGACGGCCCUAUGGGUUGUAAACUGCUUUUAUACAGGAAUAAAGUUAGCCACGUGUGGUUAUUUGUAGGUACUGUAUGAAUAAGGACCGGCUAAUUCCGUGCCAGCCGCCGCGGUAA